UACGAAGGGGGCUAGCGUUGCUCGGAAUCACUGGGCGUAAAGGGUGCGUAGGCGGGUCUUUAAGUCAGGGGUGAAAUCCUGGAGCUCAACUCCAGAACUGCCUUCGAUACUGGCGAUCUCGAGUUCGGGAGAGGUGAGUGGAACUGCGAGUGUAGAGGUGAAAUUCGUAGAUAUUCGCAAGAACACCAGUGGCGAAGGCGGCCCGCUGGGCAGUGGCUGACGCUGAGGCGCGACAGCGUGGGGAGCAAACAGG
rnacentral:rRNA from 1 species